AUAGAGGAUGCAGUGUGUGUGUAUGUGUAAGGCAUGCAGUCUGUGUUUGUAUAGAGGAUGCAGUGUGUGUGUAUGUGUAAGGCAUGCAGUCUGUGUUUGUAUAGAGGAUGCAGUGUGUGCAUGUGUAUGGGAUGCAGUCUGUGUUUGUAUAGAGGAUGCAGUCUGUGUUUGUAUAGAUGAAACAGUGUGUGUAUGUGUAAGGGAUGCAGUCUGUGUUUGUAUAGAGGAUGCAGUGUGUGUGUGUAUGUUUAAGGGAUGCAGUCUGUGUUUGUAUAGAGGAUGCAGUGUUUGUGUAUGUUUGAG